CUACGCACUCCUACGGGAGGCAGCAGUGGGGGAAUAUUGCACAAUGGGCGCAAGCCUGAUGCAGCCAUGCCGCGUGUAUGAAGAAGGCCUUCGGGUUGUAAAGUACUUUCAGCAGUGAGGAAGGUGGGUAUGUUAAUAGCAUACUCAUUUGACGUUAGCUGCAGAAGAAGCACCGGCUAACUCCGUGCCAGCAGCCGCGGUAAUACGGAGGGUGCGAGCGUUAAUCGGAAUUACUGGGCGUAAAGCGCAUGCAGGUGGUUUGUUAAGUCAGAUGUGAAAGCCCGGGGCUCAACCUCGGAAUUGCAUUUGAAACUGGCAAACUAGAGUACUGUAGAGGGGGUAGGAAUUUCAGGUGUAGCGGUGAAAUGCGUAGAGAUCUGAAGGAAUACCGGUGGCGAAGGCGGCCCCCUCGGACAGAUACUGACACUCAGAUGCGAAAGCGUGGGGAGCAAACAGGAUUAGAUACCCUGGUAG
rnacentral:rRNA from 1 species